AUGGAGGCCCGUGAAAGUAAACCCAGCCAAGGACCACCCUUUGGGAGUCUGCAGUCCAAAUUAUCAAGGCCAGCACUCUGCAGCGUCACCAUGGGAACAAGGGCAGUGGCUGCCAGAAGUUUGCUGUUUGCCUUGGCCAGGAAUCAAAGCACCAGUGAAGGUAGGGAUGGAUGGGCAAGAGUAGGAGGUGAUGUGGCUUGACAUGGGAUGGUCGAGGUGAUACAGCAUCUUAAGGUACACUGCUGCUUUGUCCCCAAGCUGGAAGCCUUGUUAAAACGGUCCUUCCCCGGGGAAAGCGACCUCUUUUCCUGACCACCUCUACCUUGUCAUCAACCCAGCAUUUAACUCCUGAUCCUGACAAGAUCUGCAUAUGUAAUAGUUUACAAAAUGAUACCACUCCCCCUAAAAUAACCUUUCUAUAUCAGCUCCCCCACUGUAACGGGACUGUUUACUUUGGCGUACAUGGUGCUGAGCUCCUUGAAAACAGAUACAGUGUGCUGUUCUUAAUGUGACAAUGUCAACAGCCUGCCUGAAAUCAAUAACGCUGCUGUUCACAGCCCAUAAAUGCAACAGAUCACAUAACAUAGCUGCGGCAUGAUGCAUGAUUCUGCUGAAUGUGACAGACAAAAUCUUGAAGUAUUAGUUUCCACUAAAAACUCAGAAAUAUCUCUAAAUGAUCAACAGAGGAUUGUCUACCAAACAUGAAUUGAUUAGAAUUUAGAAUAGUUAAAUCUGCAUUAAGAGUCGCUUUCAAUGUUUUAAUGCAGGUAUUUGAAGCUCCUUCACCAGAAAAAAAGUCCUGUUUUGACAGGCGCUGUGGAGGCAGGCACAGCUAAGGCUUGGACAGACUCUGUAGGGGGUCUUCAGGCUUACACGACUCCCGGCCUCAGGUCUUCUCAGAUUCAGAUGUAAAACCCCUCGCCUGGCACAGCGGGACCAACAUUGCUUGGGACUUUCAGCGCCACACUGUCUGCAGCAGCCACUGCAUUUUCCUGAUCUGUUACCAAAACAGACGCAACCUCACAUCAAGGCAUGCUACAGUUGGGAUAGAUGGA
ensembl:lncRNA